CAGUAGCCGCGGUAAUACGUAGGUGGCAAGCGUUAUCCGGAAUUAUUGGGCGUAAAGCGCGCGUAGGCGGUUUUUUAAGUCUGAUGUGAAAGCCCACGGCUCAACCGUGGAGGGUCAUUGGAAACUGGAAAACUUGAGUGCAGAAGAGGAAAGUGGAAUUCCAUGUGUAGCGGUGAAAUGCGCAGAGAUAUGGAGGAACACCAGUGGCGAAGGCGACUUUCUGGUCUGUAACUGACGCUGAUGUGCGAAAGCGUGGGGAUCAAACAGGAUUAGAUACCCCUGUAGUCCCUGUCUCUUAUAC
rnacentral:rRNA from 1 species